rnacentral:rRNA from 1 species
GUAGGUGGCAAGCGUUGUCCGGAAUUAUUGGGCGUAAAGCGCGCGCAGGCGGUUCUUUAAGUCUGAUGUGAAAGCCCACGGCUCAACCGUGGAGGGUCAUUGGAAACUGGAGAACUUGAGUACAGAAGAGGAAAGCGGAAUUCCACGUGUAGCGGUGAAAUGCGUAGAGAUGUGGAGGAACACCAGUGGCGAAGGCGGCUUUCUGGUCUGUACUGACGCUGAGGCGCGAAAGCGUGGGGAGCAAACAGGAUUAGAUACCCUGGUAGUCCACGCCGUAAACGAUGAGUGCUAAGUGUUAGGGGGUUUCCGCCCCCCUUAGUGCUGCAGCUAACGCAUUAAGCACUCCGCCUGGGAGUACGGCCGCAAGGCUG